AUUUGGUGUUGCGUCCUUUAUUUUAAUGCUAAACUUGAACUUCCUAAGUUUCUUCUUCCAUCCCUGUUUGUGAAGAAUCCAGGGAGUGUUCUGCCAAAGAUUAAAAGACACAGAAUCACAGUGGUAAGCACACGGUAGGAACUUAAUGAAAGGAGAAGAAAAUUUGCUAUGGGGAAGUUAAGAAAUGUUUUCAAGAUCACAUGACUAGUGUUGAAAUUUAGACCUGCUUAACUCCAUACCCUCUCUUUCCACUACCACCAUUGUAUAUUAUGAAUGCUUGUAGUCAUCUCUGCCACUGCAAAUUAUGUGCUGUUAUCCACUGUCUCUUCCCCUCAACUACCACCUUUAUCAGUUAAACAAAAACCCACAGCUUGGAAACCAACCUAGAGGAUUUGAAAGGCACUUGUCCCUUUCCUGCUCUUUUAUCCCCUUUUAAAAUUAUUACAUUCUUCUCUUCUACAUAGUUUUUUUUUUUCCCUUCUGUCCAGCCUAGGUCAUCAUUAUACUCUUAGAGAAAGAUCUAAUAUUCUACUUUAGAAAAAUAUACAUAUAUUUUUCUUCACAUUAGAAAUCUGUGAAAACCCCAUAUUAACUCUUAAAUCCCUGGUUAAAAAAAUUUUUUUUAAGUUAUGAGUUAUAAAAUCUUUCAUAGAAUUACUGUUUUAUGUGAAACAUCUGCAAUAGUUUGGAACUUUUUUCUUUUUUAGUAAUUUAAGCCUAUAGUUGAAUAUUAGAUGUUUUCAUCCAGAUUUUGUGUUAUGGCUUAGUAUUUCUAGAACAAUCAUUAUAUUUUUAUUUUGAUUCAUUUUGGAUUCCCAUUCCCUAUGAAUUAAGUCUACAAUCCCUGUCAUUUAAGCCUCAAUUUACUUCCCACUUUUCCUCUUAGGGCACCCUAUAUUCCACCUUGAAAGUAACCUUUGUUCCCUACAUAUGCUAGGAACUUUCUCGUUUGCUGCCUUAACUCAUACUAACUUCUCCUUUCAUCCCUGCUUCCAUUAAUGCUGCCUAUUUUUAAAAGCCAGCUUAAAUGUUAUCUCAAACUUGAAACCAUGCAAAUGAUAUGUUAUCUCAAACUUGAAACCAUGUUAAUUUAAAGACAUAUCUUUUUUGUUGAACUCUGGAGGAAUUCAUCUUUAUACCCCUUCUUUGUCCUUUGAAAGGUCCCUUGCACAUAGUAGGCACUGACAUAUUAAUGAUAAGCUAUGUGAGUCAAAUGUAAAGUAUGGCAGCUAUUUUAACAUUAUUAUAGACAUUUCCAGAUACUUCUUAGAGCAUUUAUAUUGUUAUUGACUGCAUUUCACUAAAUAAUGGUAGUUUAAAAACUGCUUUAGUUAUAUAUUUGUUUUCAUUUUUUUUCCAAAUAAGCAAAAUCAUGAGAAAAAGGCCAUGGCUUUUAGCUCUUGCUUUAAAUACUAAUUUUAUACUUAUAUAUUGGAUGUUUAAAAUAGAAAUUUUUAUAUCAGUAACUUUAUAUCAGCCUAAAUCUUUAUAUCAGUAACUUUAUAUCUAUUUUUCCUACAAUGUCUUAUUUAUAUUACUCUCUCCAGAAGGGGUUAAAAAAAAAAAGUAUAGUUACCACCAAAAAUUUUUAAUUUGUUGCUCUUGAGACACUUCCAGUGUCUCAAAAAGAGAACUGGACUAGAAGUCAAACAUCCUGGAUUGUAGUUCUUACUCUUCAAUUGUUUUUACUGUAACUUUUGGCAGUACUCAGUCUCUUUGAAACCAAAUUUAUUUUACUGACGAUUUGAGGGAAUUGAAUUUAAUAAUCAAACUUGCAACUGUAAAAAUUAGGCUGCAGUAAUAUUUUUUAAAUGUUUAAACAACAUCUGUAAUCUCACCCUAAGAUAUUUGUUUUCAGUUUUGCAUGCUAUCUUUCAGAUUUGAUUCUAAGAUUCAUUUCAGUGGUGAAAGACUGAUUUGCAGUUUCAUGCUUGUAGACCAAGAAUUGGCAGACCUGAGAUACGGUCUUUCCUAGAUGGAUUCUACCAACUUGAAAUAAGUCCCAGACCUCAAUAAAGCUAUUUUUUUUCAUUCUAAAUUAUAAAUAAGAUUAUUUGUUCUGCUCUUUCAAUUGAUCAUCCUUAUGAGGUUCCAAUGACAUUAUGAUACUUGAAAUUAAUAAAUUAUAGAGCUCUGAAAAUGCCUGGCUUGAAGCUAGAAAACUGGAUCAGAUAAAACAAGGGACAAGAGCCAUUUUAACAUGAUCAUGAUUAUUUAGCCUUGGAAAAAUAACUGGUUUGGUAGAGUUGACUGAUGGAUAGUCUUUUGGGUACAUUUAUUUAUUUUUCACCUCCAUUUCAGAGAAACCUUAGGUCAGCUCUACUGAAUGAAAUGGUUCAUGCACCUCAUUGGUGAGUUGAAUUACUAUCUUUCCUAUUAUAAUAAUAUGAAUGAAAUGGUUUGUAUGACAUAAAAUAGAAUUAUAGGCUCCUGAAAGGUGAAAAUCUUGUUUUAAUACCGUCUGCUUAGCAUGAGACCCUUAAAUAGUUGGGGCUGUAUAAAUUUUCUUGUUUUCAUCUUGCGUUUUAUUUUGAAAGGCUUACUUUCCUGCCACACAAACCUAAUCAUUUCGUUACUCUGUAUAAAGCACUUUGGGAACCUCUCCCACCAUUGCUUCUUUCCAUGAAUACUGCCUCUUCCACCUGUGAGCUACAUGAGUCUAAAGUAUGACAGCUAUUUUAACAUUUUUACAGACAUUUCCAGAUACUUCUUAGAGCACUUAUAUUGUUAUUGACUGUAUUUCACUAAAUAAUGGGUAGUUUAAAAACUGCUAUUCCACCAGUAAAGGCAGAGACUGACUACCUUUUAUCUGUCUUUGUAUUCCUGGAACACAGCAUAACAGGUGACACAUACUUAUAUUUUUAGUAUGCAAAAAUUAGUGGUUAUUAAUUUUUCUUUAAUUCAGAGUUUUUAACUUGCCUGUAACUGACAUCCUAAAAUUAGGAAAUCACAUUUUGUUUUAUAAUGUUACUAAAAAUUUAAAAAGAAGUUUACUCUUAAGGUAAGUUUAUAUAAGCCUAUUUCAAUAUUUGAGAGCAAUUUAAAAUACAUCUUCUGCAGGAAAAGUUCUUAAACUGUUUUAAAAUAACACAUAAUGGCAAUUAGUUUUAUCAUGCAUGGUUUGGAAAGUGAACUUUACAAAAUAGGAAGCCAGAGCUCCAAUUAUAAAUAUCUAGUGAUAAAUGCAAUCAGUUAUUUAGAGAGAAUGUGCAAACCUCAGAUUGUGCAAAGAAAGGUUCCCAUGUGACCUCCACCAGCAAAGCUAAGUGGAUGACUGGGAGGACCAGUUAGCUAAUAUAGACAAAAGGGUAAAAGAUAAAAGGGAAAGUGAGUGGGUUUUUUUGUUUUUGUUUUGUUUUGUUUUAAGGAACUUGUACUCACUUACUAUCUACAUUUCCCAUGAUGGAAAAUACUUACUUGCAAUUGUCACAAAACAAUACAAAAUCUUCUGCUAAAUAAACAAAAUCCUAUCAA